rnacentral:misc_RNA from 1 species
CUGCUCGCACGCCAAAGCGCCGCCGCCAUUAACCGCCGCCGUCCCGAGCCCGUUCCUCCGUCGACGUUGGAGCCCCGCCGUGCCCUCUGCCACGGUGAGCUUCGCCUCGACUCGCCGUGGUCCGCCACCGUCGACUCGGGCUACCGCCGUGCCUACGCCGCCACCGAGGGGUCCCCGGAGUUCGCCUUGAGGCAAGACGCGGGGCAGCUCGACGGCGAGUGCUGCGCGCAGCUCGUUAGAGCCGAGGCCGAGGUGCGCGGCAGCACGCCCGCACUGGCACGGGGGCUAGCCGGCGGGGGCAGGCAUCCCCCAACCCUAGCCGCCGCUCCUGCCGGUACCGCGCGGCCGCACGCCCGCACAGUUCCUCUCCAGCGCCGCAGCGAGCUCACUGCUCAGCGCCUCUUGCUCCGCUGCUCAGCUGCUCUUGCCCUCCUCUCCUCUCCAGCGCAGCGCCUCCUCUCCUGCUCUCCAACGCCCGCGCCGUGUCUCCUCUCCAGCGCCGCGUCGCUGCGCGCUUGCGGCUCACGACCAGCCACCGGCCAGGCCGCACCGCGGCACGCGGCACUGCCAGGCAUAGGCGCCAGGACCUCCAUCUCCCAUGAGUCUGCCUCUUCCGACGACGCCGAGUCCGCUGCAUUCACCGUGAACUCGGACAAUGUCAUCGUCUUCGGCCUUUUGUCACAAGGACAAUCAUUGGAGCUGCUCGUUGGAAGCAAUGGCUCGAUGCAGAUCGACCCAGAGAGAGAUGUGAGUGUUUUCGACGACGCCGAGUCCGCUGCAUUCACCGUGAACUCGGACAAUGUCAUCGUCUUCGGCGUUAGCUUCAAGAACAGCGCCCGCGUCGGCCUGGUGAACGACCCGGAGAUCCGUUCCGUGGCGGCGAUGGUGGCCGGCGACAAGGCGACCUUGUACCACUGCCCGUUCUACAACCCCCACCACACCCUGCAAGACGCGGGGCAGCUCGACGGCGAGUGCUGCGCGCAGCUCGUUAGAGCCGAGGCCGAGGUGCGCGGCAGCACGCCCGCACUGGCACGGGGGCUAGCCGGCGGGGGCAGGCAGUAG